rnacentral:tRNA from 1 species
GCGGGAGUAGCUCAGGUGGUAGAGCACAACCUUGCCAAGGUUGGGGUCGCGGGUUCAAAUCCCGUCUCCCGCUCCA